GCAUGGUUUCAUUAUUAAAGGAUUCCGGUAAAGGAUGGGGAUGCGUUCCAUUAGGUUGUUGGUGAGGUAACGGCUCACCAAGCCUUCGAUGGAUAGGGGUUCUGAGAGGAAGGUCCCCCACAUUGGAACUGAGACACGGUCCAAACUCCUACGGGAGGCAGCAGUGAGGAAUAUUGGUCAAUGGGCGGUAGCCUGAACCAGCCAAGUAGCGUGAAGGAUGAAGGCUCUAUGGGUCGUAAACUUCUUUUAUAUAAGAAUAAAGUGCAGUAUGUAUACUGUUUUGUAUGUAUUAUAUGAAUAAGGAUCGGCUAACUCCGUGCCAGCAGCCGCGGUAAUACGGAGGAUCCGAGCGUUAUCCGGAUUUAUUGGGUUUAAAGGGAGCGUAGGUGGACUGGUAAGUCAGUUGUGAAAGUUUGCGGCUCAACCGUAAAAUUGCAGUUGAUACUGUCAGUCUUGAGUACAGUAGAGGUGGGCGGAAUUCGUGGUGUAGCGGUGAAAUGCUUAGAUAUCACGAAGAACUCCGAUUGCGAAGGCAGCUCACUGGACUGCAACUGACACUGAUGCUCGAAAGUGUGGGUAUCAAACAGGAUUAGAUACCCUGGUAGUCCACACAGUAAACGAUGAAUACUCGCUGUUUGCGGUAUACAGUAAGCGGCC
rnacentral:rRNA from 1 species